UUUAUCGGAGAGUUUGAUCCUGGCUCAGGACGAACGCUGGCGGCGUGCCUAAUACAUGCAAGUCGAGC
rnacentral:rRNA from 1 species